rnacentral:rRNA from 1 species
UACGGAGGAUGCAAGCGUUAUCCGGAUUCAUUGGGUUUAAAGGGUGCGCAGGCGGAAUGAUAAGUCAGUGGUGAAAUCUCCCAGCUUAACUGGGAAACUGCCAUUGAUACUGCCAUUCUUGAGUACAGUUGAAGUGGGCGGAAUGUGUCAUGUAGCGGUGAAAUGCUUAGAUAUGACACAGAACACCGAUAGCGAAGGCAGCUCACUAAGCUGUAACUGACGCUCAUGCACGAAAGCGUGGGGAUCAAACAGGAUUAGAUACCCUGGUAGUCCACGCUGUAAACGAUGAUCACUCGUUGUUGGCGAUAUACUGUCAGCGACUGAGCGAAAGCAUUAAGUGAUCCACCUGGGGAGUACGGCGGCAACGUUGAA